rnacentral:tRNA from 1 species
UCUGUAGCUCAGUUGGAUAGAGCAACGGCCUUCUAAGCCGUGGGUCGGGGGUUCAAAUCCCUCCAGG